rnacentral:lncRNA from 1 species
CAGACGACGUGGCCUUCAGUGAUGCUGACUCUGGCUUUGCCGACACUCAGCUGGUACUGACCCGCAAGGACCUUCUCUUCGGCAGUAUUGUGGCUGUGGAUGAGCCCACGCGGCCCAUCUACCGCUUCACCCAGGAGGACCUCAGGAAGAGGCGAGUCCUGUUUGUGCACUCGGGGGCCGACCGCGGCUGGAUUCAGCUGCAGGUGUCGGACGGGCAGCACCAGGCCACCGCGCUGCUCGAAGUGCAGGCCUCCGAGCCCUACCUCCAUGUGGCCAAUGGCUCCAGCCUCGUGGUCCCUCAGGGAGGCCAGGGCACCAUUGACACAGCUGUGCUCCACCUGGACACCAACCUAGACAUCCGCAGUGGGGAUGAGGUCCACUACCGCGUCACGGCUGGCCCGCACUGGGGGCAGCUGCUCCGGGCCGGCCAGCCAGCCACAGUCUUCUCCCAGCAGGACCUGCUGGACGGGGCCAUUCUCUACAGCCACAACGGCAGCCUUAGCCCUCGAGACACCCUGGCCUUCUCUGUGGAGGCAGGGCCUGUGCACACAGAUGCCACCCUGCAAGUGACCAUUGCCCUAGAGGGGCCACUGGCCCCGCUGCAUCUGGUCCGGCACAAGAAGAUCUACGUCUUCCAGGGGGAGGCGGCUGAGAUCAGAAAGGAUC